rnacentral:lncRNA from 1 species
GACCAGCCAAAAUAAACAGCAGUAGAGUACAAACCAAGGUACACGAGCUAGGAGCAUGAUCCAUGUUCUCCAUGCUGACGUCAGAUUUCACUUCCUGUGCAUAAACAGAUCAGUAUACUACCACAGUUCGACAAUUCAAGACCAGCAAAAAUAAACAACAGUGAGUACAAACCAAGGUACACGAGCUAGGAGCAUGAUCCAUGUUCUCCAUGCUGACGUCAGAUUUCACUACCUGUGCAUAAAUGGAUCAGUAUGCUAGCACAAUUCGACAAUUCAAGACCUGCAGAAGCAACAAGGACUACAAACCAAGGUACACAGAGCAUGAUCCAUGUUCUCGAUGCUGUCCGCAAAUUUCACCACUUCUUCCCACCAUCCAGGAUCCUCCGCAUCAGCCUCCAUGCUGGAUUUACCGUUGAUGUUGCCAUUUUCAAUGUUCUUUUCCAUGACAUUGCCCUGAUAUUCUAUCUGGUCUGACUCCAUUAGCUCAGGAACCACAUCCCAAGGUACAGGACGCAAAGGAGAACGGUAACCUACUCCAAACAUUCAUGUAAUGACUAAGGAUAAUCUGCAAAUUGUUAACUGCUGCAACGAUGGCCC